AUCUCAAGUGUCAAAUUCGCCG
rnacentral:snRNA from 1 species